rnacentral:rRNA from 1 species
UACGAAGGGGGCUAGCGUUGUUCGGAAUUACUGGGCGUAAAGCGCACGUAGGCGGAUAUUUAAGUCAGGGGUGAAAUCCCAGAGCUCAACUCUGGAACUGCCUUCGAUACUGGGUAUCUCGAGUAUGGAAGAGGUGAGUGGAAUUCCGAGUGUAGAGGUGAAAUUCGUAGAUAUUCGGAGGAACACCAGUGGCGAAGGCGGCUCUCUGGGCCGAUACUGACGCUGAGGAGCGAAAGCGUGGGGAGCGAACAGG